GGGUUGUGAGGUUAAGCGACUAAGCGUACACGGUGGAUGCCCUGGCAGUCAGAGGCGAUGAAGGACGUGCUAAUCUGCGAAAAGCGUCGGUAAGGUGAUAUGAACCGUUAUAACCGGCGAUGUCCGAAUGGGGAAACCCAGUGUGAUUCGUCACACUAUCGUUAACUGAAUACAUAGGUUAACGAGGCGAACCGGGGGAACUGAAACAUCUAAGUACCCCGAGGAAAAGAAAUCAACCGAGAUUCCCCCAGUAGCGGCGAGCGAACGGGGAGCAGCCCAGAGUCUGAAUCAGCUUGUGUGUUAGUGGAACGGUCUGGAAAGUCCGACGGUACAGGGUGAUAGUCCCGUACACCAAAAUGCACAGGCUGUGAACUCGAAGAGUAGGGCGGGACACGUGGUAUCCUGUCUGAAUAUGGGGGGACCAUCCUCCAAGGCUAAAUACUCCUGACUGACCGAUAGUGAACCAGUACCGUGAGGGAAAGGCGAAAAGAACCCCGGCGAGGGGAGUGAAAAAGAACCUGAAACCGUGUACGUACAAGCAGUGGGAGCACCUUCGGGUGUGACUGCGUACCUUUUGUAUAAUGGGUCAGCGACUUAUAUUCUGUAGCAAGGUUAACCGUAUAGGGGAGCCGCAGGGAAACCGAGUCUUAACUGGGCGUUAAGUUGCAGGGUAUAGACCCGAAACCCGGUGAUCUAGCCAUGGGCAGGUUGAAGGUUGGGUAACACUAACUGGAGGACCGAACCGACUAAUGUUGAAAAAUUAGCGGAUGACUUGUGGCUGGGGGUGAAAGGCCAAUCAAACCGGGAGAUAGCUGGUUCUCCCCGAAAGCUAUUUAGGUAGCGCCUCGUGAACUCAUCUUCGGGGGUAGAGCACUGUUUCGGCUAGGGGGUCAUCCCGACUUACCAACCCGAUGCAAACUACGAAUACCGAAGAAUGUUAUCACGGGAGACACACGGCGGGUGCUAACGUCCGUCGUGAAGAGGGAAACAACCCAGACCGCCAGCUAAGGUCCCAAAGUCAUGGUUAAGUGGGAAACGAUGUGGGAAGGCACAGACAGCCAGGAUGUUGGCUUAGAAGCAGCCAUCAUUUAAAGAAAGCGUAAUAGCUCACUGGUCGAGUCGGCCUGCGCGGAAGAUGUAACGGGGCUAAACCAUGCACCGAAGCUGCGGCAGCGACACUAUGUGUUGUUGGGUAGGGGAGCGUUCUGUAAGCCUGCGAAGGUGUGCUGUGAGGCAUGCUGGAGGUAUCAGAAGUGCGAAUGCUGACAUAAGUAACGAUAAAGCGGGUGAAAAGCCCGCUCGCCGGAAGACCAAGGGUUCCUGUCCAACGUUAAUCGGGGCAGGGUGAGUCGACCCCUAAGGCGAGGCCGAAAGGCGUAGUCGAUGGGAAACAGGUUAAUAUUCCUGUACUUGGUGUUACUGCGAAGGGGGGACGGAGAAGGCUAUGUUAGCCGGGCGACGGUUGUCCCGGUUUAAGCAUGUAGGCUGGUUGUCCAGGCAAAUCCGGAUAAUCAAGGCUGAGGUGUGAUGACGAGGCACUACGGUGCUGAAGUAACAAAUGCCCUGCUUCCAGGAAAAGCCUCUAAGCAUCAGGUAACAUUAAAUCGUACCCCAAACCGACACAGGUGGUCAGGUAGAGAAUACCAAGGCGCUUGAGAGAACUCGGGUGAAGGAACUAGGCAAAAUGGUGCCGUAACUUCGGGAGAAGGCACGCUGGUGUGUAGGUGAAGUCCCUGCGGAUGGAGCUGAGACCAGUCGAAGAUACCAGCUGGCUGCAACUGUUUAUUAAAAACACAGCACUGUGCAAACACGAAAGUGGACGUAUACGGUGUGACGCCUGCCCGGUGCCGGAAGGUUAAUUGAUGGGGUUAUCCGUAAGGAGAAGCUCUUGAUCGAAGCCCCGGUAAACGGCGGCCGUAACUAUAACGGUCCUAAGGUAGCGAAAUUCCUUGUCGGGUAAGUUCCGACCUGCACGAAUGGCGUAAUGAUGGCCAGGCUGUCUCCACCCGAGACUCAGUGAAAUUGAACUCGCUGUGAAGAUGCAGUGUACCCGCGGCAAGACGGAAAGACCCCGUGAACCUUUACUAUAGCUUGACACUGAACAUUGAGCCUUGAUGUGUAGGAUAGGUGGGAGGCUUUGAAGCGUGGACGCCAGUCUGCGUGGAGCCAACCUUGAAAUACCACCCUUUAAUGUUUGAUGUUCUAACGUUGGCCCCUUACCGGGGUUGCGGACAGUGUCUGGUGGGUAGUUUGACUGGGGCGGUCUCCUCCCAAAGCGUAACGGAGGAGCACGAAGGUUAGCUAAUCCUGGUCGGACAUCAGGAGGUUAGUGCAAUGGCAUAAGCUAGCUUGACUGCGAGCGUGACGGCGCGAGCAGGUGCGAAAGCAGGUCAUAGUGAUCCGGUGGUUCUGAAUGGAAGGGCCAUCGCUCAACGGAUAAAAGGUACUCCGGGGAUAACAGGCUGAUACCGCCCAAGAGUUCAUAUCGACGGCGGUGUUUGGCACCUCGAUGUCGGCUCAUCACAUCCUGGGGCUGAAGUAGGUCCCAAGGGUAUGGCUGUUCGCCAUUUAAAGUGGUACGCGAGCUGGGUUUAGAACGUCGUGAGACAGUUCGGUCCCUAUCUGCCGUGGGCGCUGGAGAAUUGAGGGGGGCUGCUCCUAGUACGAGAGGACCGGAGUGGACGCAUCACUGGUGUUCGGGUUGUCAUGCCAAUGGCACUGCCCGGUAGCUAAAUGCGGAAGAGAUAAGUGCUGAAAGCAUCUAAGCACGAAACUUGCCCCGAGAUGAGUUCUCCCUGAGACUUUAAGUCUCCUGAAGGAACGUUAAAGACGAUGACGUUGAUAGGCCGGGUGUGUAAGCGCAGCGAUGCGUUGAGCUAACCGGUACUAAUGAACCGUGAGGCUUAACCUUACAACGCCGAAG
rnacentral:rRNA from 2 species